AUUGAACGCUGGCGGAAUGCUUUACACAUGCAAGUCGAACGGCAGAGGGGGCAACCCCUCGAGAGUGGCGAACGGGUGAGUAAUAUAUCGGAACGUGCCCAGUCGUGGGGGAUAACGUAGCGAAAGUUACGCUAAUACCGCAUACGAUAUAAGGAUGAAAGCGGGGGAUCGCCAGACCUCGUGCGAUUGGAGCGGCCGAUAUCAGAUUAGGUAGUUGGUGGGGUAAAGGCUCACCGAGCCAACGAUCUGUAGCUGGUCUGAGAGUACCACCAGCCACACUGGACCUGGGACACGGUCCAGACUCCUACGGGAGGCAGCAGUGGGGAAUUUUGGACAAUGGACGCAAGUCUGAUCCAGCCAUUCCGCGUGCAGGAUGAAGGCCCUCGGGGUGUAAACUGCUUUUGUACGGAACGAAAAGGUCUCUCUUAAUACGGGGGGCUCAUGACGGUACCGUAAGAAUAAGCACCGGCUAACUACGUGCCAGCCGCCGCGGUAA
rnacentral:rRNA from 1 species